rnacentral:rRNA from 1 species
AUUGAACGCUGGCGGCAGGCCUAACACAUGCAAGUCGAACGAGUUGCGGACUGGUGAGUAAUGUCUGGGAAACUGCCUGAGGGAGGGGGAUAACUACUGUAAACGGUAGCUAAUACCGCAUACCAUCAGAUGUGCCCAGAUGGGAUUAUCUCGUUGGUUGGGUAACGGCUCACCAAGGCGACGAUCCCUAACUGGUCUGAGAGGAUGACAACACACACUGGAACUGAGUCACGGUCCAGGCUCCUACGAGAGGCAGCAGUGGGGAUUAAUGCACAAUGGGGCCAAGAACGAUGCCGCCAUGCCGCGUGUAUGAAGAAGGCCUUCGGGUUGUAAACUACUUUCAGCGGGGAGGCGUUACCCGCAGAAGAAGCCCCGGCUAACUCCGUGCCAGCAGCCGCGGUCAUUC